GAUCGUUGUAUUGGAGUGACAGUAGAACUUCCCCGCGAGCACUGUGAUCCGGCGGUUCCUGUGAGGGUCAUUUCAAAACCGAGUUGAACGUUACGUUGAAUUUAUCUUCAUUCUACCGUCCAACUGAAAUAUUCUCGGCUCGCCGUCGGGAAGAGCCCCUUCCAAAGACACGGCCGCAUAACCAAUUGUCGAAUUUCUCUUUGGACGGCCGCCAUCGAUUACCGAUAUCCGCAACGUUUUUCCACUCAGAUCACCGUUCGGAACCUGUGUGGCACGAUACAAAUUAAAUCAGCGUUUUUGUGAAGAAAAAUAUCUGCCGAACAUCACUUUAAAGUGUCGCAUUCACCAGCUGUCGCGAAAUCAACUGUCCAAAAUCGAAAUUAUCCCAGAACCGACCAGCUUCGCGACGAUGCCGAUCCUGUUCAAGCUACGCUAGCAAAAAUACUUACGAAGUACGAGUCUCUUCGUUUCUGGCGUGACUGAACGUGACGGCGAUCUCCAGGAGCCAGGUGAAGUCUGACCAUAGGAUCGCAGCUUCCUCCUGGGCGUGCAGGGAGGUUUCGCGCCUUCAUCAGUGUCACCGUGAGC